rnacentral:rRNA from 1 species
UACGGAGGAUCCAAUCGUUAUCCGGAAUCAUUGGGUUUAAAGGGUCCGUAGGCGGUUUGGUAAGUCAGUGGUGAAAGCCCAUCGCUCAACGGUGGAACGGCCAUUGAUACUGCCAGACCUGAAUUAUUAGGAAGUAACUAGAAUAUGUAGUGUAGCGGUGAAAUGCUUAGAGAUUACAUGGAAUACCAAUUGCGAAGGCAGGUUACUAAGAGUAUAUUGACGCUGAUGGACGAAAGCGUGGGGAGCGAACAGG